AGAAGUUUAGUUAAAAAAUAACAUUGGUCUGUCAGUUCAACAUUAUAAAUAAAAUUUAUAACUUCUC
rnacentral:tRNA from 1 species